rnacentral:rRNA from 1 species
AUUGAACGCUGGCGGCAUGCCUUACACAUGCAAGUCGAACGGUAACAGGUCUUCGGAUGCUGACGAGUGGCGAACGGGUGAGUAAUGCAUCGGAACGUGCCCAGUAGUGGGGGAUAGCCCGGCGAAAGCCGGAUUAAUACCGCAUACGACCUGAGGGUGAAAGGGGGGGAUCGCAAGACCUCUCGCUAUUGGAGCGGCCGAUGUCAGAUUAGCUAGUUGGUGGGGUAAAGGCCUACAAAGGCAACGAUCUGUAGUUGGUCUGAGAGGACGACCAGCCACACUGGGACUGAGACACGGCCCAGACUCCUACGGGAGGCAGCAGUGGGGAAUUUUGGACAAGGGGCGCAAGCCUGAUCCAGCAAUGCCGCGUGCAGGAAGAAGGCCUUCGGGUUGUAAACUGCUUUUGUCAGGGAAGAAAUCUUCUGGGUUAAUACCUCGGGAGGAUGACGGUACCUGAAGAAUAAGCACCGGCUAACUACGUGCCAGCCGCCGCAGUAAUAC